rnacentral:rRNA from 1 species
AUACAUGCAAGUCGAGCGGACCGACGGGAGCUUGCUCCCUUAGGUCAGCGGCGGACGGGUGAGUAACACGUGGGUAACCUGCCUGUAAGACUGGGAUAACUCCGGGAAACCGGGGCUAAUACCGGAUGCUUGAUUGAACCGCAUGGUUCAAUCAUGAAAGGCGGCUUCGGCUGCCGUUUACAGAUGGACCCGCGGCGCAUUAGCUAGUUGGUGAGGUAACGGCUCACCAAGGCGACGAUGCGUAGCCGACCUGAGAGGGUGAUCGGCCACACUGGGACUGAGACACGGCCCAGACUCCUACGGGAGGCAGCAGUAGGGAAUCUUCCGCAAUGGACGAAAGUCUGACGGAGCAACGCCGCGUGAGUGAUGAAGGUUUUCGGAUCGUAAAGCUCUGUUGUUAGGGAAGAACAAGUACCGUUCGAAUAGGGCGGUACCUUGACGGUACCUAACCAGAAAGCCACGGCUAACUACGUGCCAGCAGCCGCGGUAAUACGUAGGUGGCAAGCGUUGUCCGGAAUUAUUGGGCGUAAGAGCGCGCGCAGGCGGUUUCUUAAGUCUGAUGUGAAAGCCCCCGGCUCAACCGGGGAGGGUCAUUGGAAACUGGGGAACUUGAGUGCAGAAGAGGAGAGU